rnacentral:lncRNA from 1 species
GCCUGGUUUCUGCAUAGAAAUGCCUCUAAGAGGACAAAAUUCAUCUUCCUGGGAACAAUAUUCAGUUACACCAAACGAAGUCACAAUUACAAUGCCUGAAGGCCGAUAAGGCACUCAUCAAAAUAAGCAUUUCUUUCUCUAUGGGCAAUUUACAGACUUUAGUUAUUUACAGAUAAGCUUAUUUUAUUGUAGAGGUGGACUAUGAUAGCACUAUUUGAAUCUUAAAUUGCAGGAUUUGCUUUCAUCUGCAGAAAAGGAGUGUAAAAGCCUAAUUUCUCCCUUGCUCUAUAGUUUCUUGUGAAUGCGAUGAGCGAACAUUUGAAGCUUGUAAUAGAGGGAGAAGUGUACUAGAU